rnacentral:misc_RNA from 1 species
GAUGAAGAACGCAGCAAAAUGCGAUAAGUAGUGUGAAUUGCAGAAUUCAGUGAAUCAUCGAAUCUUUGAACGCACAUUGCGCCCCUUGGUAUUCCAUGGGGCAUGCCUGUUCGAGCGUCAUUGACACCCUCAAGCUCUGCUUGGUGUUGGGCCGUUGUCGUUUCCUCGCCCCGCCCGGCGACACAGCGACACCCCUCAAAGUCAUUGGCGGCUUUCCUGCCCAGCUUUCCCGCGCAGCAGUUCGCGCUUCGGAGACCACUUGGCAGGUUGGCAUCCAUCAAGCUGACCCCUCACGCUUGACCUCGGAUCAGGUAGGGACUACCCGCUGAACUUAAGAAUAUCAAUAAGCGGAGGA